AAACUGGACCCCGCGACUGAUGACCGGCUACCGCCUGCCAAGGCCACGCUCCACCGAAGGCACCACGUUUACUCCAAGCGCGGCAAGAACAGGUGCCGCAGAUGCAGCCGAAAAGUCCGUUGAUCAUUUGAAUUAGACAGAGGACCAGUUCAAUGCUCGCCGCAACCAGUAAGGUGGAGAAGAGGCCCAGGUUGAAUUCCACUACGUCUUCAGGGCGUUGACACCAUUUCCACAUGUUCUUAUCUGAGAGGUAGCUCCCGCUACUGCAAGGGACGAGAAGAACGACUCGUAUUUGUCAGGCGCUUACCCCGCAACGGUUGGCGCAGCAUUUGCCGGCACUGGUCAAGUGGAUGUGGAUGGCGGGAACCAGGACCUCCAAGGUUAAAAGCGGCGUAGCUGGUAUCCAGGUCCGGGAAGAAGAGCACGAUGUUGCAGAUGAUGGACAGCAACGCCAGGACGUAGAGUGGCACCGCCACCACUUUGGAACACGCUCCCGUACACAUGCUUGCAGGUGAAAGC